rnacentral:rRNA from 1 species
ACGAAGGGGGCUAGCGUUGUUCGGAAUCACUGGGCGUAAAGCGCACGUAGGCGGAUGUGCCAGUCAGGGGUGAAAUCCCUGAGCUCAACUUCGGAACUGCCUCUGAUACAGCACGUCUUGAGUCCGGAAGAGGUGGGUGGAAUUCCUAGUGUAGAGGUGAAAUUCGUAGAUAUUAGGAAGAACACCGGUGGCGAAGGCGGCCAUCUGGACCGGCACUGACGCUGAGGCGCGACAGCGUGGGGAGCAAACAGGA